CAUCGGUUUUUGUUUUCUGUUUGGAAGAAGAAGAGAGAUUAGUGAGCGAGUAUUUAUAAGCAAAAGAGGAUACCCUCCACUGGAGAGGACAGAGCUCAAGCCAUGACCUUGGGUGGCUUUCUAAUAAGAGUUGCUUGUUCCACGGCAUAAGCAAUCUCAGUGAGCUCUGAUGUGAUGAUCAAGAUGAGAAGAAUGCUUCAUUACAGUCCCUAAUCUCUUACCUUCUUUGAGGCCACUAGUUGUCAAAAACCGCCUUCGGGUAUGAACUCCGACGCAUUUUUCGUGGCCUAGUCCAGUAGAUCAUAACCCAAAAUAACAUCAAGGAGAUAAACAGAAUCUGAAACUGUCCUAUAAAUCGCCUAACAUAGAGAGACACUAGGCAAAAUGGUACACAAAUCAAACAACAGUCAUAUUUUUCUUUAUGCAUGCGUAAGAAUCUAUCAAGGUAAAGUAUUUGAUGUUUCGUUGAGUGACUGUUGAUACAGAGCAUUCUUGAAACAGAGAAUAGACCAUUGAUUGAAGAUUAGGCUAGAAAAAUAAACUCUACCAUAAGACUGUGUCAGUUAAUUUGAACGCAUUGCACAAACAGAUAGGAAAGCUCGGUUCUAGAAAACUGUGGCACGGAUUACAACGCAAAAAGAAAUCACGCUUGAUCGUGCCAAGUCACGCUUAGAUGAAGCUAUAAGCUGAAAAAUGUUGCACAUGUAUCAUCAAGCCUUUUGAUGCCAUAGACUCAGUCAAUAACUUUUUUCUCAGUUUUUUAUACUCGUAGACAUAGUGUAAAGCUUUUAUGGGUUGAUACUACACUAGAGUUUGCAAGCUGAUAUAACUCAUUGUACUCUUUGCAUUCGAUUAAUAUACAGCAGAAAACUUCAUUGA